rnacentral:tRNA from 1 species
GGAGAGGUGGCUCAGUGGUUAAGAGCACUGACUGCUCUUCCAGAGGUCUUGAGUUCAAAUCCCAGCAACUGCA